UUUGGACUAUUUUGAGAGCAUAAUUAACCAAAUGAACAUUAAGCUGUAUUGAAGAAGACUUUAAACUAGAUUUGUUAAGUUUGGUCAUCUUAUUUUUGCAGAGGAGUCCCCACCUGCUGGCAGCCCUAAAACAAAGCAGCAAGGAGGAUCUGCAGCUUCCGGGUGUUGGACUUGGACUUUAAACCUUUAGCACCUCCCAGUGGUAGAAUGAAGAAACACACACUGUCACUUGCCCCUCAUGUGUCGCCAGUCGAAUCGUCUGCCCUGGUCCCUGAUUGUGUCCAACUGUUUCCCAUUGCCCUCAUGUGUCUUAUAGUCUGCGGCUCCCUUUCCCCGGUGCUGGAGGGUACCGACCAUUCACCUACCGGGGCCCGUCGCCUUAGACUCGGUGGCCCUCGGCCUGGCCUGGACGAUUCUAGUUUCAGUUUAUGGAUUCAGUUCCUCAAGCCUCUUUGUAGUUUUUGUGUUUUUCCUCCUAAUGGAGCGAUUUUGUGUUUUUGAUCUAUUGAACUAAAUAAAGACGGCCUAUCCUGUUCAUCA
ensembl:lncRNA